rnacentral:rRNA from 2 species
GGAAAGGCGCGCGAUACAGGGUGACAGCCCCGUACACAAAAAUGCACAUGCUGUGAGCUCGAUGAGUAGGGCGGGACACGUGGUAUCCUGUCUGAAUAUGGGGGGACCAUCCUCCAAGGCUAAAUACUCCUGACUGACCGAUAGUGAACCAGUACCGUGAGGGAAAGGCGAAAAGAACCCCGGCGAGGGGAGUGAAAAAGAACCUGAAACCGUGUACGUACAAGCAGUGGGAGCACGCUUAGGCGUGUGACUGCGUACCUUUUGUAUAAUGGGUCAGCGACUUAUAUUCUGUAGCAAGGUUAACCGAAUAGGGGAGCCGAAGGGAAACCGAGUCUUAACUGGGCGUUAAGUUGCAGGGUAUAGACCCGAAACCCGGUGAUCUAGCCAUGGGCAGGUUGAAGGUUGGGUAACACUAACUGGAGGACCGAACCGACUAAUGUUGAAAAAUUAGCGGAUGACUUGUGGCUGGGGGUGAAAGGCCAAUCAAACCGGGAGAUAGCUGGUUCUCCCCGAAAGCUAUUUAGGUAGCGCCUCGUGAAUUCAUCUCCGGGGGUAGAGCACUGUUUCGGCAAGGGGGUCAUCCCGACUUACCAACCCGAUGCAAACUGCGAAUACCGGAGAAUGUUAUCACGGGAGACACACGGCGGGUGCUAACGUCCGUCGUGAAGAGGGAAACAACCCAGACCGCCAGCUAAGGUCCCAAAGUCAUGGUUAAGUGGGAAACGAUGUGGGAAGGCCCAGACAGCCAGGAUGUUGGCUUAGAAGCAGCCAUCAUUUAAAGAAAGCGUAAUAGCUCACUGGUCGAGUCGGCCUGCGCGGAAGAUGUAACGGGGCUAAACCAUGCACCGAAGCUGCGGCAGCGACGCUGAUGCGUUGUUGGGUAGGGGAGCGUUCUGUAAGCCUGCGAAGGUGUGCUGUGAGGCAUGCUGGAGGUAUCAGAAGUGCGAAUGCUGACAUAAGUAACGAUAAAGCGGGUGAAAAGCCCGCUCGCCGGAAGACCAAGGGUUCCUGUCCAACGUUAAUCGGGGCAGGGUGAGUCGACCCCUA